AACGAACGCUGGCGGCAUGCCUAACACAUGCAAGUCGAACGAGACCAUCGGAACUGGUGGCGCUCGCGUGCGUAAAGCGGGGGAAGCGGCCCUUAGGCACGGAAUACCACCCCGACAGGGGUGCUAAUACCGGAUAACGUCCUCGGACACAAGAUAUGUCGCCUUUGGGUGGGCACGCGUUGGCUUAGCUAGUCGGUAGGGUAAAAGCCUACCAAGGCGACGAUCGAUAGCGGGUCUGUGAGGCUGAUCCGCCACACUGGGACGGGGACGCGGCCCGGACUCCUGCGGGAUGCAGCAGUGCGUAAUACUGGACUACCGGCGAAGGCCUGAACCAGCUCGGGUGGUUGAGUGCUUUAGGUGUUAGGGUUGUAAAGCUCGUUUACCCGGCGUGAUAAUGACGGUACCGGGAGAAUAAGCUCCGGCUAACUCCGUG
rnacentral:rRNA from 1 species